rnacentral:rRNA from 1 species
AGUGAACGCUGGCGGUAGGCCUAACACAUGCAAGUCGAACGGCAGCACAGUAAGAGCUUGCUCUUACGGGUGGCGAGUGGCGGACGGGUGAGGAAUACAUCGGAAUCUACUUUUUCGUGGGGGAUAACGUAGGGAAACUUACGCUAAUACCGCAUACGACCUACGGGUGAAAGCAGGGGAUCUUCGGACCUUGCGCGAUUGGAUGAGCCGAUGUCGGAUUAGCUAGUUGGCGGGGUAAAGGCCCACCAAGGCGACGAUCCGUAGCUGGUCUGAGAGGAUGAUCAGCCACACUGGAACUGAGACACGGUCCAGACUCCUACGGGAGGCGGCAGUGGGGAAUAUUGGACAAUGGGCGCAAGCCUGAUCCAGCCAUACCGCGUGGGUGAAGAAGGCCUUCGGGUUGUAAAGCCCUUUUGUUGGGAAAGAAAAGCAGCAGGUUAAUACCCCGCUGUUCUGACGGUACCCAAAGAAUAAGCACCGGCUAACUUCGUG